rnacentral:tRNA from 1 species
GCCCCGGUAGUGUAGCCUGGUUAACACGCGAGCCUGUGGAUGAAUCCAACGGAUAGCUUGAAAACCCGGGUUCAAAUCCCGGCCGGGGCC